GGGGAUGCCUGGCUUCGACAGGUCGUACGUUUAAAACAUGCAAGUCGAGCAUGAUGAUUGCUCGCCAAACAUUCAUCAAAGUUAUAAGUGCAAACUUCAUAACAAAAGCAAAAUCAGUUUUUGCGCAAGCAUUUACUUCAAAUUUUGCGGUUGCUACAGCCUAACUCUCGUCUAACGAGAAAGCCGUAGUCAUCGAACCGUUGAUUUCUAAUAGACGGAUAUCGGUGUCAUAUGAUUAGAAUAGCUAUUUUUGUAUUUUCUAAGCAAAUCUAGUAAAAUUACAUUAGAAAUAGAUUGAAAAGGUUUUGUCUGUUCAUCACUUUUCAAUUGAAAUCAAUAAACAGGCUAAACUUGUAGAUUGUUUUAUAUGAACGAUUUUGGACGCGAGUUCGAUUCUCGCCAUCUCCACCA
rnacentral:tmRNA from 1 species